UUAGAGUUUGAUCCUGGCUCAGGAUGAACGCUAGCGGCAGGCUUAACACAUGCAAGUCGAGGGGCAGCAUGUCCAGCAAUGGAUGAUGGCGACCGGCGGAAGGGUGCGUAACGCGUGAGCAACAUGCCCUAUACAGGGAGAUACACCAGGGAAACUUGGUCUAAUAUCCCAUAGCAUUCAUUGAAGGCAUCUUUAAUGAAUUAAAGCUUCGGUGGUAUAGGAUUGGCUCGCGUGACAUUAGCCAGAUGGUGAGGUAACGGCUCACCAUAGCAAUGAUGUCUAGGGGUUUUGAGAGGAAGGCCCCCCACACUGGGAUUGAGAUACGGCCCAGACUCCUACGGGAGGCAGCAGUCGAGAAUAGUCUACAAUGGACGAAAGUCUGAUAGUGCGACGCCGCGUGAACGAAGACUCCCUAACAGGGUGUAAAGUUCUUUUAUAUGUGAGCAAUGGUUUGUAUAUUAAUAGUAUGCAGACAGAGAUAUUAGCAUAUGAAUAAGCAACGGCUAACUCCGUGCCAGCAGCCGCGGUAACACGGGGGUUGCAAGCGUUGUCCGGAAUUACUAGGCGUAAAGGGCAGGUAGGCGGAUUAGUAAGUUUGAUGUCAAAUCCAUCGGCUCACCCGAUGAUCGGCAUCAGAUACUGCUGAUCUGGAAUACGGUUGAGGAAGACAGAAUUCCUGGUGUAGCGGUGGAAUGCGCAGAGAUCAGGAGGAAUACCAAAUGCGAAGGCAGUCUUCUAGGCCGUUAUUGACGCUAAACUGCGAAGGUGUGGGGAUCAAACAGGAUUAGAUACCCUGGUAGUCCACACAGUAAACG
rnacentral:rRNA from 1 species